GGGAAGGUGGCUCACUGGUAAAGAGCGGUUGCUUAGCAAGCAUGAGACUCCAGGUUCAAAUCCCUAGCCAUGUCA
rnacentral:tRNA from 1 species